rnacentral:rRNA from 1 species
AGUGAACGCUGGCGGUAGGCCUAACACAUGCAAGUCGAACGGCAGCACAGUAAGAGCUUGCUCUUACGGGUGGCGAGUGGCGGACGGGUGAGGAAUACAUCGGAAUCUACUUUUUCGUGGGGGAUAACGUAGGGAAACUUACGCUAAUACCGCAUACGACCUACGGGUGAAAGCAGGGGAUCUUCGGACCUUGCGCGAUUGAAUGAGCCGAUGUCGGAUUAGCUAGUUGGCGGGGUAAAGGCCCACCAAGGCGACGAUCCGUAGCUGGUCUGAGAGGAUGAUCAGCCACACUGGAACUGGGACACGGUCCAGACUCCUACGGGAGGCAGCAGUGGGGAAUAUUGGGCAAUGGGCGCAAGCCUGAUCCAGCCAUACCGCGUGGGUGAAGAAGGCCUUCGGGUUGUAAAGCCCUUUUGUUGGGAAAGAAAAGCAGCAGGUUAAUACCCCGCUGUUCUGACGGUACCCAAAGAAUAAGCACCGGCUAACUUCGUG